rnacentral:rRNA from 1 species
GGUGAACGCUGGCGGCGUGCCUAACACAUGCAAGUCGAUCGGAGCAGCAAUGCUUAGAGGCGAACGGGUGAGGAAAACGUAGUAACCAACCCUUUAGACUGGGAUAGCCACUGGAAACGGUGGGUAAUACCGGAUAAGCUCGAGAGAGGAAAGGCAGAGAAGCGCUAAAGGACGGAACUGCGCCCCAUCAGAUAGUUGGUGAGGUAAAGGCUUACCAAGUCAAAGACGGGAAACCGACGUGAGAGCGUGUACGGUCACAAGGGCACUGAGAGACGGGCCCUACUCCUACGGGAGGCAGCAGUGGGGAAUAUUGGGCAAUGGGGGAACCCUGACCCAGCGACGCCGCGUGGGUGAAGAAAUCCUUCGGGAUGUAAAGCCCUGUUGUAUGGGAAGAGCGGAAGACGGUACCAUACGAGGAAGCCCCGGCAAACUACGUGCCAGCAGCCGCGGUAAGCUAGUCUACG